GAGAAAAAAAGUCCCGUGUGUGCAUGGACCUUUUAGCCUAGUGGAUGAAAUCCAUUAUGCCAGUGGUCAGGAGACUACAGUGAGUCCCGUUCAUGCUGUUGAGUGAGUGAUUGAGAGAUAACCUCUAUACCAAGGCAGUUCAUUGUUCAGGAGAAAGUAUUUUAUAGUGGCUUAGCUGUGGGAGUGAAGGGGAUGUUUUGGUUGAGGUAGAGAGCUAGACAAGGACUGAAUCUUGGAGAUGGAUGUAGGAGAUGAGGACAGAUAGUGUCAGGGAGUGCUCUGUUUCUGUGUAAUGCAGCUGUAUGGAUGCUUGAGGUUCCAGGAUCAGCCUGGGCUUUUGAAUGUGGGUUUGAAGUGCUUUUGCGACUUCUAAAUAGAGGAACCGAGCAAUGACUAUUGAGUAUAUGAACAAGCAAGUCUUCACAGUCAACAUUUUGGCCUUUAUAACUCAUAUCAAGUUCAUUAAUAGAUUUCAACAGACACUGAAAGUUCAUUCUCUCUUCACCACCAUUAUCCUUUUUCAAGAACUGAGCAGACACAUAGGAGGCUAUUGAAAUCUAUUAAUGAACUGGUGGAGUAGAAAAAAGGAUGUAGUUCAACAACUUGCCUCAUAUUUCUCAUGUUUAUAGGUAAAAAUGAUAGGAUGUUUUGAGUGCCAGAUUCCUCCCAUGAUUUUGUAGCUUUUCCCUGGUAACUUCAGGUCAUCAUGACAGCCUCUUUACAUUCUUAGCACUUCCUGGUGCACUUGAAGAUGGUUUGGCAACUGCUUUUCUCCCAACCAUCAUCAUAUAAAGGAUCCCUUCCACACUAACCAAAAAGACUCCUUAAGAAUGGAUUUACUGAUUCCUUGACCCAUGAGAACACACAUCCCCAAGAAAUCCAGGACUUAGCUUGCUACUUAGAUCUUGGUGUGAGGUACACAUUCUUUGGCUGAAGAAGCUGCUUGAUACCAUGAAGUACCAAGUUACAUUUGUUCCCGUUGAUUCAAAGAACACUGGUUCCCGCUGCAAGCCCAAGACCACCAUAAUCAUCAUUGAGCUUGCUACUCCACCCCAGGGUCUCUAAAUAAAACCUCCUCUUUCUUGGAAAAAAUGUUUUUGAGUGUAAUUAUUUAGUUAAGAAGUUAUCUGUGGUCCCUGGAGCACCCAUGAUCCCCCCCUUUUAAUGUAAUAAGAUAGUAGGGUGUGGUAGGUUGAGAGAGACGUGAGUCAG
ensembl:lncRNA